ensembl:lncRNA
CCCUGGACCGGUCCGAGGCCCGGCGGGACGGAGGCUACAAGCACAACAACUGGAGCUUCUCUCUCUCUGGGGACAGCGAAGAGGACAGGAGUCAUGAUGUGAGCGUGGUGAGCAUGGAAGAGACGGACCGGCAGCAGCCUGCCCCCCCCCGAGGAGAAAAAGUCUCCCGGUCUGAGACACUUUACGUCCUCGGACUCUUUGAGAACAUAUGAGAACCGCUCCAAUAACCACAUGAGGCCUCUGAACAAGCUGGCGCCCAAAAGACUCAACGAGGUGCCUCUCUCAGUAGCAGCGCCCCCCCCCAUCCCCAACAGAACCAACUACUUCAUCAUCAGUCCGGCGCCAUCGCAGGGCAUCGUCCUGCAGGGCCGACACUUCCAGCACGCCCAGAUGCCGUCCGCCGCUCGGAAGCCGGUCCAAAGAAAAGAUUUCUCUACCUUGCAGCAAGCGGAUGAGGUGGAAAGGAUCGUCCUCACCUGUCCAGAGAUCUCAGAAGACGAGCCUCUGAGCAUAAAGCGCCGCUUCCAGCACAAGAGGAAGCCGCUGGAGGACUGCUGCUCUUUACCGCUGCAGGUCAAAGCAGCUGAGGUAAGAGCCGGGACUGCGUUACCCAGAAGGCACUUCUGUCCAACUGGAGAUGCUGUCCAACGUGUCCUUGUCGUCCUAUUGUCUCUCUACUGGACAUCAGCUGUGUCCUCACAUGUCAUCCAAAGCACAUAAUAAGGAGGUGUCAUGUAUAACGCAUUAAUAAGGAGGUGUCAUGUACUACGCAUUAAUAAGGACGUG